rnacentral:tRNA from 1 species
GCCCCUGUAGCUCAGUGGAUAGAGCACUGCCCUCCGGAGGCAGUGGCCGGAGUUCGAGUCUCCGCAGGGGCGCCA